GCAGAGACCACAUACUUAGGACCAGGAUGUGGAGGGAUUGGGCUGGACUGACCUGAAAGCCUCUUCUUUGGGAACAAACCUCAUAGUCUGACGAUCCUAUGCAAGUUGCCAAGAGAGGAAAGCAACCACUAGUCCUGUCCGUCCAGCUGUAAGGCUUACAAACUGUAACGAUGACCACCAGCCCGGAAAGACGUCUGCAAAGAUGAAACGUCGUGGACUUUCAUAAGACCCUUCCUGGUGUGAUAGAAUUCAUACUGUAAACCGAGCCAACUGCCGUGCCUGCUGAGGUCACGAACUCUAGACGAGGACCUUCUACUGCCGGUUUCCUCAACCAGUGUGAUUUCUUUCUGACUACAUUCUGAAUAGUUAUCUUUAUACUUAAAGCAGAAAGAACCACUUUAUUGUAAUGAUGACUGGCUUGUGAACUGCCUGGUUUGAUGGUUAAAGUAUGUACGGCACAGAAGAGGAAGGCCUUCUAAACUGAAAGGAAACACCUGGAGAUUUGCACAGUUUUAACAAUUUAUGAGAAAGGAUGUCUGACUAUAAAGAGGAACGGAGCAUUUUAAUAAAUCUUUUAUCAUUGUUUUCCACUGUAAACAGCAAUAGAUGAGACAAAAAU